GAUGAACGCUGGCGGCGUGCCUAACACAUGCAAGUCGAGCGAGGGUUUGCUCAGUAUUGAGUAUUCUAAAACUAGAAUGUUCAAUUCUGAGCAAAACCAAGCGGCGGACGGGUGAGUAACGCGUGGGUAACCUGCCCUAUACACAUGGAUAACAUACUGAAAAGUUUACUAAUACAUGAUAAUAUAUAUUUGCGGCAUCGCAGAUAUAUCAAAGUGUUAGCGGUAUAGGAUGGACCCGCGUCUGAUUAGCUAGUUGGUGAGAUAACUGCCCACCAAGGCGACGAUCAGUAGCCGACCUGAGAGGGUGAUCGGCCACAUUGGAACUGAGACACGGUCCAAACUCCUACGGGAGGCAGCAGUGGGGAAUAUUGCACAAUGGGCGAAAGCCUGAUGCAGCAACGCCGCGUGAACGAUGAAGGUCUUCGGAUCGUAAAGUUCUGUUGCAGGGGAAGAUAAUGACGGUACCCUGUGAGGAAGCCCCGGCUAA
rnacentral:rRNA from 1 species